UGGGCUGAGGGGCAGGGCGUGAAGUGGAGAGAGGAAGGCUUGAGUAGGGCUGGGGUGUCAUUUUGCAGGCUGGGGAUCAGGGUUCAUGAGGCUGGAAGGGAGCACAGUGGGCACUGAGGGGCAGCAGGGUGCUGUGAGUAGCGAGGCUGAGGGGAAUAGGGACCAUGAGGGGAGGGUACGGGAUGCAAAUGGACAGGGAGUGUCCCUUGAGCAUCAUGUGUCAUGGGAUCUGUGGUGGGGGUUGCUUCCAGAAGAAAUACAGCUCCAGCUCAUGGCAGAAGAUCACUAGGUCUUCUUGGGAAGCCAGCAUUCAUCAGGUGUUCCUGCUGACCAUGGAGUGGCUGCUGAAUCUGCACCCUCGCCAAGGUGGCUGAACCGAAGAUCUGUCUGCGUUAUGGUGAGAGUUCUGCCCCUGCAGUUCCAUUUGUUUAUACCUGUGUGGUCUCUUUAGGCUGUAGAAGGUAUUUUUGCCAAAGUAGAUGGUAAAUGUGAAUAAAUUCCAAUU